rnacentral:rRNA from 1 species
CAGUAGCCGCGGUAAAACGUAGGUGGCAAGCGUUGUCCGGAAUUAUUGGGCGUAAAGGGCUCGCAGGCGGUUUCUUAAGUCUGAUGUGAAAGCCCCCGGCUCAACCGGGGAGGGUCAUUGGAAACUGGGAAACUUGAGUGCAGAAGAGGAGAGUGGAAUUCCACGUGUAGCGGUGAAAUGCGUAGAGAUGUGGAGGAACACCAGUGGCGAAGGCGACUCUCUGGUCUGUAACUGACGCUGAGGAGCGAAAGCGUGGGGAGCGAACAGGAUUAGAUACCCCAGUAGUCCCUGUCUCUUAUAU